AUCCCUCUGACCGCGACAGGUUCCCCGGCGACGGGGAUGAAAAGGGAACGGGAGAACCCCGGCUGCCCCUGCAACUGUAAGCGGCGAGCCAUCGUGCCAUCAUGCCAUUGGGAUCCCGGUCCCGAGAAGGCGGCGCGAAGGGCUGUGACCCGUGAGCCAGGAGACCUGCCCGUCGCAGUCGUCUUUCG
rnacentral:ncRNA from 1 species